rnacentral:rRNA from 1 species
UACGUAGGGUGCGAGCGUUGUCCGGAUUUAUUGGGCGUAAAGAGCUCGUAGGCGGUUUGUCGCGUCGGCCGUGAAAUCUCCACGCUUAACGUGGAGCGUGCGGUCGAUACGGGCAGACUUGAGUUCGGUAGGGGAGACUGGAAUUCCUGGUGUAGCGGUGGAAUGCGCAGAUAUCAGGAGGAACACCGGUGGCGAAGGCGGGUCUCUGGGCAGUAACUGACGCUGAGGCGCGAAAGCCAGGGGAGCGAACGGG